AUGUUACUUGUUAUUAUCUCCGACUUUUUAAAUAAAUAUUACUUGACUUGACUUUCAGAAGGAAAAUGUUUAUUCUAUUUAAAACAUUCAUAUUUUAACAAAAUUGCUAAAGAGUAGCGUUUUUUUUUAAUUUUACAUAUAUCAAUUUAUUAUUUAUUAGAUGAUGCAGAGGCGUCGCGACUUGGGUGGCCAAAGGCAGCGCUCGCCACCCCAAUAUUUCGGCCAGUAAUGACAAGACGGUGUUUCAAUUAUUUUGAAAAUGUCCAGAUUUUUUCAUCAACUUUCAAUUUGAUGCUCAUGCAAAAUUAGAAAGAAGAAAUGCAGAAAUCGAUAGAGCAUUACCAGGGAAACGUGUAUUUUCAGUUACUGUAGCUGAAUCGCCAAGUGUCUAAAAUCUAGGAAACCAUGAUGAUGGAAGUGUUAUUGACCAGUUCUUUAGCUACUGGAGAAUUUCAGAAGGAAAUGAAAAAAAAGUUUUGCAUGUUUUCUUGCAAUAAAAUACCUGCACUGCUGACUUUGAUAAGAUUGUGGGGACCAGCUGAUUUUGUGGGGACUGCAAGAUUUUAAAAGGUGGCAGUCCAUCAGGUCAUUAGAAAAAAAAAAGGUAAGUCUUAAUGGUCUUGGAAUAUUAAACUCCAAAAUAAAAAUUCGCUUGAAAGGAGGUAUUAAAGCACCAUUCAUGAACUUUAAAAGGGGAUUCUUAUAGAUAAUUGAGAGGAUUUUCAUUUUGAAUGUGAGCAUGUUGCUUUGAACAAACAAACAACAACAGAGGUGGCUUAGUAAUUCUAUAGUAUAGAGCACAAGAAUAUUAUUUCAGAUGUUGCAGUUUGAUAUGUGGGCAAAGUUUAUAUUCUCUGAAAACUGAAUUCAUUUGUUCUCCACCUCUUCAUUGUGGGGAAGUUGCAAUUACAUGCAAAGCACAAAUUACUUGGACAGAACCCAUUAAUACAGGCAAAAAUUGUUUUAUUUUAUUUGAGUUUAAAUAGUUUUGUUCUAAAGUUGUACCUUUAUUUUGAAGACUAAUAAUUAGCUAAAGCUAAUUGAACAGUGGUUAUGAUCAGUGAUGGAUGUUAAGAGUGGAUUGUAGAGUGAAAGUCAAAUAGAACUAAUGGAAAGUAAAAGUUCAGUGAUUCUUUUGUAGAAAAUAUUGAAAAUACUGCAUAUUGCAUGACACAAGCUUGCUUGCUCAGCAAGAACGCUAAAUGGUAAUAUUAAAUUCUGUUUAUGGAAUGUCACUGAGUCUUUUGUCUAGAACAGUGGCUGUUCCGCUCAUUUAUUUGAAGUAGGUCUUUGCUCAACUCCGUUAAUAAUUCUACCCACUGUUAACAUCCUGAUAUUGGUAUGUUUUCAGUAAAGUGUACAAGAGGAAUAUAUUGUGUGGAAAGUAGUUAACUAAAUUGAAGUAAGGUGGUUGUUAGUCAUUUUUUGCGCUGAGGUAAUUUUAAUGUCAAAAAAUGCUGUUAAGAAAAUUUGUGGCAAAGCAACUUCCACACUUUUUAACCAAUUUCAGUAUAACUGUAAUCAUGCUUGACUAAUUUUUAUGCUUCCCGAAGUGGGGAGCAUAUAGUACCCACCUUGUCAGUCCAUGUUUUUUUGUUUGUUUGUCCAUUUGUCACACUUUUUGUCCGCAGGAUAACUCAAAAAGUAGUGAAGAUACCAAGUUGUAACUUUAUACAAUGAUAAAACUUAUUGAGAGGAAGUGCAUUCGCAAGAAACCAUAACUCUAGGUGGUCCCAUUUUUGAAUUAUUUCCCUUUUUUUUUUUGAAGACCUUGUCCUGAACAUAACUUGAAUACUAAGUAAGGUAUUGACACAAAUAAAUUCGUUUUCAAAUGAAAUAUAAUUAUGUUCUUCAUUUAUUAUAUAUUCCCACCUAACAGGUACAUUUCUCCUUAACACAAUCUCCAUGACAGAAAAGCCCCUUAUGCUACAGUAAUUUUGGGGAGCAUUCAUCCGUGUUACUGUGUUACUGAUCACCUUGUUUUCAUUAUUAUAGAUCCAGGCAGAGUGAAGAUUUACAGUGGUAUUAUGUGAACAUGGUAUAGUUUGUAUACAGUUUCACAUACCCAUAUCCCCAUGUGGAGUGCUGUGUAGGUGGCUGCAUUUUUGGGGGCAAUGCCCCCAGAUUUAACAAACCGUUUUUCAAUUUUCUUGUCGAGCUUAUGACCAAACUGACAACACACAGAAAACAAGUUCCAAAGUAUUUACCAAACAUAACUUUCAUACUGCAUUUUUUAAUUAUAUUUUAGAUCCAGAUAUGAUUAAAUAGAUCUACACAUUUUAUAUCAACAACAGUAUGUGAAGAAAACUAAACUGCAUUAUAAAUAUAAAUUAUAAUAGAUCUUCUUAAGCGUAAGAAUAAUAAAGACGCUUGAUUUGAUCACGUGAUCGAUUCUGAAACCGACACUUGUUAUGAUCAUGUGACCUAUUCUGAAAUCCAAUAACUAGUUUCAAUACGCUCAAAAAAUGUGUUCAUGAUUCUGCGUGAAAAUAGCAACUAAGGAAUUGCAACGGCACCGAUAAGCCGAUAGGUUAUUGAUUUUUUCAUCACCGUGCCUCGACACUGUUGUGGAUGUGUAUUAUGGAGAAACUUUAUCAGUUCGCGGCAAUCAGUACCGACGCAAAGAAACCGCCGAUAGAGCAGAUUUUGCAAAGAGUGCGUCGAUAUGGAUAUGUACUGUGAAUUGGAGACUGCAUCCUGAAUAUACAUGUCAUCUAGGGAAGGUUUGAAUCCAUGGAGAUUUUGUCAAAAGUUAUGGCAUCAGAAUCUUGCGGGCAUGCAGUAAUUUCAAUUGGAACCACCACGCAACCGCAAAUCAGGAGAGAUAUUUUUUUUUUUACUUUUUCCUGAAAUCCGGCCUCACAAUAGGGCCAAUAGAAACGCGCUUAUUCUGGAAAAGUACAGCAUUUCCCAAACUGAACAUGUGCCAGAUUCUUUAGUCUAAAGAUCAGAACAUUAUGUAAAUGAUGUGUUUAACAUAAUUAUAAUGUUUGGGAAAUCCUUGAAAAAUGACCGAAGAAAACAUUCAUUCCCAGAUUUUUAUUUAAAAAAAAAAGCCAUAUACGCUGACCAAACUGGUAUUUAUCUGCAGGAAAAUUAUCGUUUUACGUAAAAAGUGCACUAAAUACUGUUAUAAUUGCGUGUACAUAUACGUAUUUCAUCAUUUUUCAGACCGAGUAAUUUUUGCUAUGGGAGGUAAUCCACCACUCCGCGAUGAUAACUUGCCACAUGUGCCCGUUAUAUUUUGGCCUCAUUUUCUUGGUAAUUAUCCCUGCAGAUAUACAUUUAUGUUACCAGUUUAAUGUAUUUCAUCUAUCUGAGGGUGUAAAUGGUUUCUGAGGGUGAUAUUCGAAGGCAGACCCACCAGAAAUCUUGUUCUUUUUCCACGGGUGUUUCGUAUCCUAAUUUACUCGAACCUAACUGUAUACGCCAGUUCGGCAGGUUCAUUGAUAUGACGAAACACGGUUUUCAUAGUGUUUAAUGUAUUUCAUAUAUCAUGAUAUUGAUAGUUUGAAAUACAGGUGUACAUUAAAUAACCUAAAAUUGAAAAAGACAAUGUUAUUUUGAUCAACAAACAUAACAAACAAUAUGAAUAAUAAU